UCAGGAGAGCACUCUCUUAUUCUAUGCUAGGGUUUCCCAAGAGAAGGUUUAUUAGUGGGAAUGGUGUUUAGGUGCAAGUAAUAAUAACCCAUCUGACAGCUAAAUUGAUAUGAUAAGAUAAUUGUUAUUUACAGGGACAGGCAGCCAUCAAGUCAACUUGAGGAUUCAACAGUUCCAUCAAAGAGCCAAGCCCUUUUUAUCUUCCUAUUCCUCCAGUCUCCAUCAGCUAGCAAUUGACCUCAGAUGAGAAAAACGAAGCACAGAGCAAUUAAAUAACUUGCCCAAGAUCACCCAAGAUGUCCAGCUGAAGUUCUUAACCAUUACCUUACACUAAUCAACAGCAACAAUAAUAAUAACCACCUUUCUAGGAUGCAAAUUAUGUUCCAAGAACUUUCAUUAUUUCAUUACAUCUGCAUAGCCCCAAGAGUAAAUAAUAUCCUGUUCUAUUGAAGAAGAAACUGAGGUCCCAAGACAUGAAAUUACUUGCUCAAGGUCACACACUGCCCUCAACUCUGUGAUGUCAAAAUUCCCUUCGCCAUAGGUAACAGAUCCUAUCUGGCUACUUUUCAUUAUCAAGGCCCUGCACAGAGGCAGGCAUCUUUAUCGUGGAUAUUCAAUAAAUGCUGAUAAAUUUGAAGAAAAGGGAAUAAGACAAGGUAAAGCAGAUUUCACAAAAAUCUGAGACACAAGAUUCAGAUCCUUUGCGUCAGAUGAUCCCAUUUCCCAAAUCUGGAAUGUGAACAGAAGAAAGAGAGACAAUGAGGAUUGUCUGUUCAACUCAGCAAGCCUGGAAAACAACAACAAUGCUAGAGAAUGGAGAUGUCUUGGAUUUUUUGUGCACAAGCUGUCCUCAGAACCAAACAAAAUAACCAGCAUACGAGAGAAUUCACAAAGUAAGAGACUCAUAAAGUAAAAUGUUUUGCUUUACCUUUUGCCUUUUUCAUCCUGCUUUGUUUUUCAACAUGUGUAAAUCAUUCUGUUACUAUAAACUUAAUAAAGAAGUAAAAGAGCAAAGACCAAAAA